GAUCAACGCUGGCGGCGUGCAUGAGACAUGCAAGUCGAACGAAGGAUCGGGCUUGCUCGAUCCUUAGUGGCGGACGGCUGAGUAACGCGUAGGUGACCUACCCCGAAGUGGGGAAUAACUGCCCGAAAGGGUGGCUAAUACCGCAUGUGGUCGCACGUUCAUUCGUGCGAGUAAAGCCGCAAGGCGCUUCGGGAGGGGCCUGCGUCCGAUUAGCUCGUUGGUGGGGUAAUGGCUUACCAAGGCGACGAUCGGUAGGUGGUCUGAGAGGACGAUCACCCAGACUGGGACUGAGACACGGCCCAGACUCCUACGGGAGGCAGCAGUCGGGAAUUUUGCUCAAUGGGGGAAACCCUGAAGCAGCAACGCCGCGUGAGGGAUGAAGGCCUUCGGGUUGUAAACCUCUUUUGUCAGGGACGAUGAUGACGGUACCUGGCGAAUAAGCCACGGCUAACUACGCG
rnacentral:rRNA from 1 species